UAGACAUAGACGAUGGAAAAAAAUUGGAUGAACCACAGGAAGAUAAUUUGGAGGUAUCAGCAACGUUUGUGUCCUUGUUCAUUCUAAGCCUGGCAUAUAGUGUUACUGUAACUCUGUUUAAGGUAAGAUAUAUUGUCCUGCUUACAGUAUUUUAUUACUCAAUAUCUGAUACCAUACACAUUUUUACAACACCAAUAAUGGCUUACCCCAUACAUCUGUAUAGGUUAAGACCUUAAGUUAGGUCACAUGCACUAUAAUGAGAUAUACUUUUGUGUGCACUAGCAUGUUAGUUAUACAGCUAUUUAACAAGAUGUCCUUUAUAUACUCUAUAUAUGUGCACAAUAGAAGAUGCCUCUUAUAAGAUAUAUAUGUUAAGUCCCUCUCAUACAAACCUACUCUAGAUCCCUCUUAUACAAACAUACACUAAACUUCUCUCACACAAUGCACACAUUAGAUCUCUCUCAUGCAAUACAUGCCAGAGAUUCCUUUUAUACAAUACAAACUCUAGAUCUCUCUUAUAUGUCCCCUAUUCUAAACAUUAUUGUUAUACUACAUACCAAAGACAUCAUUUUAUUCAUGAAACAGACAGAGAUCUGAGGUUUUCUUUCAUAAAAUGCUUCAGGCAAUUUUACCAUAGAAACUAAACGAACACUAUAGACAUUGAACUCAGCUUCUAUUAAAUCAUUUUUUAAACAGCACUGUUCAUUUUACAGCACACAGUAGGCUUUUACUAUGCAAUCUCUAGACUUAUUCUGUAAUAGUACAAACACUAGAUUUUUUACUCAACAUAUACUAUGACUAUUGUCACAAAUAAUUUAAAUAAUGGAAAUAACUUGAAUUAUCGUAAGUUAAUAGUUUAACAAAUUUGAGUUUCAUUGAAAUCAAAGAGAUAAUAACUGAGUCUGUUUUUGUUUUGUCUAGGUGAAAUGAAAUUGACCCCGUUCACCCAUCAUCCUUUGAACUUUCCGCAAGCAGUGAUGAUUUGUCUCAAUCUAAUUAUACUAACUUUAUAUACUUGAAUGAUGGUUUAGUCAAUG